rnacentral:rRNA from 1 species
UACGUAGGGUGCAAGCGUUGUCCGGAAUUAUUGGGCGUAAAGAGCUCGUAGGCGGUUUGUCGCGUCUGCUGUGAAAACCCGAGGCUCAACCUCGGGCCUGCAGUGGGUACGGGCAGACUAGAGUGCGGUAGGGGAGAUUGGAAUUCCUGGUGUAGCGGUGGAAUGCGAAGAUAUCAGGAGGAACACCAAUGGCGAAGGCAGAUCUCUGGGCCGUAACUGACGCUGAGGAGCGAAAGCAUGGGGAGCGAACAGG